rnacentral:lncRNA from 1 species
AGGGCGUGGGUGGCUCCCAAUCUUGAUCCGACGGUCCAGGGGUUAUCUGGCUUUGUUUAGGACUCCUAAUCCUUCUCUAAUUAGGUUUUAAACCCUGUUUAACCCUUUAAAUAGGGCUGAUCGGUAACAGAGAGGGGUUGUGGUUGGUUUUCUCGCACCGUAUGAACCCGAGAAGAGAGAGAGAGGUGGAAGCGCUGAGAGAGAAGGAGCAGGAGGCUCCUGGACAG